GCAAAGUUUAAAAUCAUAACCAAACAACCUAUAAAUUCAUUCAAAAUUGUCCACAUACAACUGGUACAAAUUCUUGUUGUUUUUUUUUUUUACACAAAAAGGAAGAGAGGAGAAAAAUCUGAAGCCAAGAAGGAAAUCGAAAGCAACAACAGUUCAAGAUCGAAAACCGAAACAAAUAGAAACGGAGUUAACCACAAUCGGGACACUCUAGACCCGACGUCCCUCAUUUACAUAUCAGCGGUGGAAUCGCACAACUAUCACCGUCUCAACCUUCAUCUGCACCGGACUCACAGAUCGACGGUACUCACACGACCUUUGUCGGAGCUCUCUAAAUCCACGCCGAUUCCGUCAACACCACCGGUAAUUUUCUUUUAA